UACGUAGGGGGCAAGCGUUGUCCGGAUUUAUUGGGCGUAAAGAGCGUGUAGGCGGCCAGACAGGUCAGCUGUGAAAACUCGAGGCUCAACCUCGAGACGUCGGUUGAAACCGUCUGGCUAGAGUCCGGAAGAGGAGAGUGGAAUUCCCGGUGUAGCGGUGAAAUGCGCAGAUAUCGGGAAGAACACCCGUGGCGAAGGCAGCUCUCUGGGACGGUACUGACGCUGAGACGCGAAAGCGUGGGGAGCGAACAGG
rnacentral:rRNA from 1 species